GGUAAAACAUAUUGAGAAGCCUCCAAGAUGCUAAAGAAAUAUGAAUGGUUGCUGUUAGGCUAAUUUAUUACUAUUUAGCAGAGAACAAAUACAUUUUAAAAGGAUAAUGGCAAAUUAAAAAUCCUAUUAAGCAAAUUUGCUUACCUAGUACUUAGUAACAACUUGGGUUUAGAUCCCACAGUCAUUUAAAUGCAUGCAAAACUUUACACAAAUAUGCAGGCCCAGAGAAAUCUUGAAUCUCAGCGGGAUCAAGAACAUGGAUAUUAAGUAUGAAAUAAUUAUUAACCCUGCUGCCAAAUUAGUCUUUCACUCUUGGCACCACUAGUCUCCCGACUCUGCUUUUGCUUGGAAAAUGAAAAUCAAUGGGGUCAGGUUUACUUCUGUUUCUAGUCAGCGUCAAUUCAGUAACCUCAGUGCAGAGCUGGUUUUGCAGGAGAGUGUGGUAUCGAUCCUGUUUCUGAUCUGCAGCUCUUGACAUCACAGAGAAACCCAUGCUAGCCUGGGAGGCUGCUCUUGUCCGUACCACUGGGUUGGAGGGCUAUGCUCACUUUCUCACUAGGUCUGUGAGAUGAGCUGCUGUGCCCCAAGGCACAGGGGCAGGGACCUGCCUGGUUGCUGGUGGCCAGUGUGAUGGGCUGUGCUGCCACGAGCUGGCUAGCCAGGGGCAGCCCAAAGCUGGAUUUGCUAUGGAAAGGUCAGUCUGAAACUUUGCUGUCUUUGGCUGUCCCUCAGAUGUGUCACCACACCACACAGCUUGGUGUCAUCUGCAAACUGCUGAGGGUGCCCUCCGUGCCACUGCCAGUGUCAUUGAUGAAGAAAUUAAAGAGCACCGGUGCCAAGCUGACCCCCACUCAUCACUGAUCUCCACCCGGACACUGAGCCAUUGACCACCACUCUCUGGGUACAAUCUCACAGCCAGUUCCUCAUCCGUUGAACAGUCCACGCAUCAAAUCCAUCUUUCCAGUUGUGAGAGAGGGGUGCUGUGGGGGACUGUGUCAAAGGCCUUACUGAAAUCCAGGUAGAUGACAUCAGUGGCUGCUGUUAUGCCAUCAUAGAAGGGCGCUGUGUUGGUAAGGAGGACCUGCCCUUGAUAGCUGUCUCAUAGCAGCUCCCUCCCUCUCACCUGCCAUAGCAUAGCUUCCAGGAGGAUCUGCUCCAAGAUAUUGCCCAGCUCAGAGGUGAGGCUGACGUGUUGGUUGUCCUUUCUACCCUUCUUAAAAACAGGUGUGAGAUUGCCUGUAUACCAGCUUACCUUUCGGGUCUGCCCAGCAGCAGCUCAGCUGUGUAUGAUUCCCUUGUUUUUGAAUGAAGGGCAAACAAAUUCAAAACUCCAUGAAUGAUUAGAAAUCAGUCUAGCUUUUCUUCACUUUCUAGUUUGUAUUGUAAAUCAAAGCAGUAAUCUUUCCAUGCUUCUGGGUCAGAGAUUGGCAUUUUGUUAUCAUCAGCUGCAGCUUUCAUGUGUUUCUGGUGCAGAUAGGAGCUGCCCUUUUACCAAUGUUUUGCUGAUCCAGUUGUGUGUGGGUUUGCUCUUGGCAUGGGGUAAGCAUCACAGAGAUGGCCAGGCUGCAGAGAGCUGCCACACCGAGACCCAGCACUUCGGUGGACGCACAAGAGUUGUCCCUCUGCAUCUGGCAGCACAGGUGACAGGGCAGCCAGCUCUGCCUGCCCACGCAGCCGUGGGCCCGUCCCCCAGGAGUGCUCAUUACCAACUCUUCAUUAGCAGCUGAUGUGCUGAGGAAGGCCUGCAGGGAGGCUGGAGGCAGUGCUAGCUCCAGGCACCGUUGGGGGGUGCCUGUGCUGUCCGUGUUCCCAACUUGAGGUGCAGGAGCAAUGCUUUGCAGCUGGGGCCCACCUGAAUCCUGUGUGGAAGGGAAUGGGGCUCAUUCAGCACUGAAGGAUUCAUCCAGGCUUUUCAUCUUCCCUGACAGCGGGAGGUCCUACCCUCAGUGUGUGGGGAAGUGGGAGCUGCUGGUGCCUGGGCGUCCUCGGCCUGGUGCUGCUGCCAUACAAGCUGAGCUGGGAUGUGGUGCUCCAGGUAGCACCAGGAGUGGGGACGUCCCCUCUUGACCGAGGGAUGGUCUCCCUUUGCAGCCCCAACCUGUCUGCUUCUCACCUGGAUGAUGUGAUCCAAAGGGAUGUUGUUCCUGCUCCUCUCUCCUUGAACACUGUCAUGCUGCUGUAGCCAUGCUAAGAAAAAAAGCCCUUUGGGGAAAUGUUAUCCCACUUUUCUGCUUCUUCCGGACACACUAGUGAUAAAAACAUGCACAUGGAACAGCCACAAAAGGAGUAUCCUAAUUUGCUUCUGGGAACAGAAGUCUGCACCUUAGGAUGGCUCCAAAGUCACGGUGCUGCCCUGCUCCCUGAGGACGCCGUGCUCCCGUGCCUUUCCGUGUGGAUGUGGGCCUUGCAAGUGAUCCAUCAGCUCGCAUCUUUUCUGAAGUGGCAGGGCUGCAGCCGUACAUCUCUGAUCGAUACCGCCCAACCUUGACAUGGAAUCAGUCACUCGUAGCCUGCUCAUUACUGCUGGCUAACCGUUUGCCUGCAGCAGCUCCUUAAUAGCCUUCCCCGACUGCUGCCGAGUCACAACAAGAGUGUUUGGCAGCCUUAUUUACAUGCAGCAUUUCACCAGUCUCUGCUUCCUUGUGCUCGCAGCCCACCAUCUGCUCCGGAGCCUCAGAGGAGAUGGGGAGUGUGGAGCAGUGUGGAGCGUGGUGCCAGCCUUGUCCCCGUGGUGAUGGGGGGCCCUUCCCGCUGGGGGCUCCUCGAGGCUCAGCCUCAGCCUCUGUUUGUCCAGGAGACUUUGGCACUGUGCUUUGCUUUUAUUCUCGAGUUGAAGUAAUUUUAAUCGCAGUGAUUUUAAUCCGCUGUGUGUUUCAGCCUUCUCUAUGUUUACAGUCUCCAAGGGUGGGAAAGGGCUCAGGAAGUUCUUCCUAGAGAGCAGCUUUAAAAUGGCAAUUUAUUAUUUAUAAGCUGGGGGAUGGAUGAGGUCUGGGAAUGGAGUUCCUGCGAGUCUAUUAGCCGGGCAGGUUGUGCUCUGUGUCACUGCAAAGGCUCUCCUUGAUAUCCGCAGCAAGGUCUUAGACUUGACUCCCGACCUUGGUCAUGAGCCAUUAAUGAUCUCUGAAGAAAGAAAUACACUGACACAUGCACUUUGGGGGAUAUAUGGUACAUCUGCUAGCAUGCCAUUGAUUUACAUGAACAAAUGCAGAGUACAGUCCUUUUUUUUUUUUUAGUAAAGUGACUAUUACUUAAACUGAAGAGUAAAUUUCAGCCUUGGCCUCUGUUUCAUGGGAAGAAACAAUUGCACCCUUAGGAGUGUGGAUGAUGGCAAGAAGUGAUGUGUAGUGUGGGCAGUGUGGUGGAGAAGAACCUGACCUGGUGAGGAGGGCAGGGUAGCCUGUGCAUGCUUGCUGGUAGCAUGGGACCCCCAGGCUCUGGCACUGCAAAUGUCCAGAGCCCAAUUGCAGCCCUGCCUCACGCUUCUGGCAUUAUUAUUUGGGGUUAAGCUGAUGUCACUGAAGCAUGAAGCAUAUUGUGAGGAGAUCAGCACUGUGCAUCAGCGUGGAACUGCUCCUUUCUGGGACCCCCGUACCCAGUGCUGCGGACUGAUCCAAGGAAGGAGCUUGAAAAUGUAACUUUUAGCUUCAGAACCUUGCAGAUGAUCUUUAAUGCAUCUAAAUGGGAUUUGGGAAGAAUUUAAAACAAUUUUGGAGGUUGAGGUCGGCAUUACUGUGAACUGAUUUAGGAACAUCCUUCUCUUCAUGAACCUCCUCCUGUCUUUCCCUGGAGACCAUCAGGCACCACGUACUGGAUGGGCAGACAGCUGCUUUGCCCAGCCAGAGCUGGCAUCUUCACCUUCUGCCCCAGAUAAGAGUUAGCUUCUGCCUCCGGACCCCUUUUUUCCCCACUUACCCGCCUCAGUCCCCAUCUGGUUUGUGUCAGCAUAGUCCUUUCAGGAAUGUGGCAGCUCCAGCUCAUCUGGGACUCUCUUCCCACAUCAGUUGCUAAUGAAGGAGAGUGUUGUGUUUCAGGGUAAGAUUUGUUUCUCCGCUUGGCUGUAAGAGAUGAAUAUACUGUUCACAAGAGAGGACUUUGUGUUAUGUUCUCUCCAUGUUCUCUUGCAUACGAAUGUGGCUCCAGAGACUUGGAGGACAAGGGCAGCCUGAAAUGGCUUUGCAAACUGCCUUUUGCAGCUCAGCUGAAGUUAUUUAUUUCUUCUUUAAAACUAAAAAUUUCGAAAAAGAGAGAGAGAAAAUCCCUCUUUCCUCUAAGCUAGAAUUAGCAGUUGAAUUUUCUUUUAUGUGUGUUUCUUUUCUGAGCAGCCUGAUGGAGCUGUAGGUGUCCCUGUUUACUGCAGGGGAGUGGCACUGGAUGGCCUUUUGUGUCCCUUCCAACUCGAACCACUCUGAGUCUGUGAUUCUAAAAAGUGGGAGUUUUUCUGUGGGGUGAAGUAUCUUGAAUGCAUCUUGACUUGUCAGAUCUUGCACAUUUGUCUGGAUUUUGUUUUCCUUGAAAAACAAGGAAGCAGGGUUUUUGUCUUUUUUCUUCUUCUUCUCCCCCUUUGCCCCCACCCCACUAGAUCACGCUAACCUUGCUGACGAGGCUGGAGACUUGAGAGGGAAGUCACAUGCACCCAAAUUCUACUGGUUGGUUUUGUAUUCUGAUUCCACAAUCAGAAACUGAGCAAUCAAGUUCUUAGGCUUCCAGUUUCCUUCACAGUCCUCGCAGCUGGGAUAGUGCUCCUACUUGCAAGCUGGGUGCACCGAGAUCAGUAGAGAUGCACCAGCAUAGAUAACAUAGUUCUGGGAUAUAGUUGUCAUCUUUCAUCUGAGGCCAAGGUCUGUGCAGCCCUAGUGGUGCAGGGAGAUGCAUGACAUCAAGGUCUAAGAAGCUGUCUAGUCCAUCUCCUUCUCAGCCUGACCUCAGCCCCUCCCGCUGCAGUAAUCCAGAUGCAAUCAG